UUACAAGUCAUACCACAAGAAAUAAUAUAACCACAAAAGUUAUCUAAUUAUAAUUGCUAAUAAUAAUAAAAAUGAAGGCAGUUGACACGAUACUGUUCGAUAUAUCUAAAAAUGAACACUUCAAGAUCAACGAAAACUUCAAGAUGCUGCAUCGCAAAUUGAAAAGCGCUUGGAAGGUCAUGAUAAAUCGCGAAGAAAUAUCUCCUCACAUACUCCAGGAUGUAAAGAUUUUAGUAAUACCAGGACCACAGAAUGCAUUUACAGAUGACGAACUUGCAGCGCUUAAAACUGUGGUAGAAAGGGGAGACUCGGUGUUAGUAAUGAUGACAGAUGGAGGGGAAGAACGAAUGAACACUAAUAUCAACUUCUUUCUGGAAGAGUACGGAAUCGUUGUCAACAAUGAUUGUGUUGUUCGCGCAAAAUAUCACAAGUUCUACCACCCUAAAGAGUGUCACAUAUCGAGUGGAAUUCUCAACCGUGCUGUCUUGAAGUACAUUAUGAAAAUGCCAAAUUAUAUCAGUGAACCUGACGAUUUUCUCGAAGACCCGGCAACACCAAAUUUUGUGUAUCCCUACGGUGCAACGUUAACAGUAAAGAAACCCUCCGCAGCAAUACUUUCCAGCAGCGACGUGUGCUACCCUGUCAAACGGCCAGUUGCUGCCAUGUACAUCUCAGAGAAGAGUGGUGGAAAGCUUUUCGUCAUCGGAUCCGGACACUUUUUCGCAGAUCAAUACUUAGACAGCGAAUGCAAUGACCUCAUUAGGGAGAUGAUUUUCAACUAUUUGGGAGGUGUUACAGACUUUCAUCUCAAUCCAGUCGACGUUGAAGAUCCUGAUGUCAAUGAAUAUCGGACCUUGGGGGAUACUCUCUGGCUAAGCUCGGUACCAUUACCAGAGCCAGCCAGCACUCCACCGCCGCGCCUCGCACCGUUGCAUCCUCACGCGCUGUUCACUUGGACACUGUUCUCGCUAAAUCUGUCGCAUCUGCCUGAAGUACUAGGUUUAUAUGAAGAGCUAGGCGUUAAACAUGAGCCUUUAAGACUGAUAACUCCACAGUUCGAGACACCUUUUCCACCACUUCAGUUAGCUGUGUUCGCACCAACCUUUAGAGAACCUCCUCCUCCACCAUUAGAGCUGUUCGACCUGGACGAGGCAUUCAGCUCUGAGCGCUCCCAGCUCGCCAGACUCGCUAACAAAUGUCUGCAGCCUCACACAGCAAGAAUGGGACAAGGGGACGGCAGACAACUGGAAAACGAAUUGGAAUAUUUUGUGCGUGAAUGCGGUCGCGCCGUGCGACUGUCGCGAGCAGUGGUCACAGACGAGGCGCCCGCCGGAAAGCACAUAUUGCACCAGCUCGCCGUGCAGCUGGCGACCUUCAAGAAGAUUGCACCACGCGAUUAGCCCAUUAACCCUUAGAUCAACAUAGAUUUGAAAUACCUGCCCCCCAUCCCAAAGCCUAUCGUAGACGCCCCAAAAACGUUCUUUACGUUCCUGACAAUGUUUUAACGGACGACAAUGCUUUCCAGGCAACACAAGCUACACAGUGUCUUCGCCGGUAAACACGAGGUCCCCGAUUUCUGACGUGAUCCGUUAACCACUCGUUUUUUGUCUUUCAUCUAGGUCAAUACUAAUAUUAUAAAGAGGCAGAUACGAACCAAAAAAGAGUGAAAAAGGUAUUGUCUGAGAAUGGACCUUUCUUAGUACGAAAGAAAAGAU
rnacentral:misc_RNA from 1 species